ensembl:lncRNA
CGGAACUAUCUGUUUUAUAAUGACAAUUUUCACCUAAGAUUUGGAGCCAAAUUACAGAAGGAAAAAAAUGACUAUAAAGAUGACAGCAUCAUGGUGUUAUUUUUACACAGAGAUUGGUGCACAAAUGUGUUUCAACUGUGUUCUCGUGUCGUGCCAUCCAGUUCCCUUCAGAAAGAGGAGAGUCUGAUGUAAGAACAGGUCUUCUCAGGGGAAUCAUGUUACCUGUUGUAUCUUCAGCUCAAAACAGACUGAGAAAUAUGAGGAAUGAAACGUGAAGCUCGAGGUCAGUGUGAGACUCGACUGCGAAUGAAUGCAAAUGGCAAACACAUUCAUUGUGUUUCAUCACUGAUGCUACAAUGACAUUGUUCUGCUUCUCUUGCUAACCAGGGAGGAGCGCUGAAUUGAUCAAGUUUGGUUUUCAAAGCCUGACCUUACAGUCUCCGUGCUGAUCUUCUUUCAGCAUUCAAUUCAUCUGCAUAUUAUACUAUCAUACCAG